GCACUCACUAGGUCCUGUGUCGCGACAUUGAAGGCAGUACGCUCAGCUCCAGGGUAUCUUGAAGGGUAUGUCGUGACAUCAUCACACAGUGUCGCGACAUUGAAGGCAGUCUUCAGCUUCUUCAGUUCUGCUCCCUAUGUUGCGACAUCUAAUGCUCCGUGUUGCAGCCUAGCAACCAAUAUUAAGUUAAUAUGCCUUCUAAUGGUCUCCUGUACACUCCCAACGUGUAUUAUCUCACCCUUAGGCCUCAUUCGGCCCCUAAGG
rnacentral:lncRNA from 1 species